GACGAACGCUGGCGGCGUGCCUAAUACAUGCAAGUAGAACGCUGAAGGAAGGAGCUUGCUCUUUCCGGAUGAGUUGCGAACGGGUGAGUAACGCGUAGGUAACCUGCCUGGUAGCGGGGGAUAACUAUUGGAAACGAUAGCUAAUACCGCAUAACAGUAGGUAUCGCAUGAUAGCUGCUUGAAAGGUGCAAUUGCACCACUACCAGAUGGACCUGCGUUGUAUUAGCUAGUUGGUGAGGUAACGGCUCACCAAGGCAACGAUACAUAGCCGACCUGAGAGGGUGAUCGGCCACACUGGGACUGAGACACGGCCCAGACUCCUACGGGAGGCAGCAGUAGGGAAUCUUCGGCAAUGGACGGAAGUCUGACCGAGCAACGCCGCGUGAGUGAAGAAGGUUUUCGGAUCGUAAAGCUCUGUUGUAAGAGAAGAACGAGUGUGAGAGUGGAAAGUUCACACUGUGACGGUAUCUUACCAGAAAGGGACGGCUAACUACGUGCCAGCAGCCGCGGUAAUACGUAGGUCCCGAGCGUUGUCCGGAUUUAUUGGGCGUAAAGCGAGCGCAGGCGGUUAGAUAAGUCUGAAGUUAAAGGCUGUGGCUUAACCAUAGUACGCUUUGGAAACUGUUUAACUUGAGUGCAAGAGGGGAGAGUGGAAUUCCAUGUGUAGCGGUGAAAUGCGUAGAUAUAUGGAGGAACACCGGUGGCGAAAGCGGCUCUCUGGCUUGUAACUGACGCUGAGGCUCGAAAGCGUGGGAGCAAACAGG
rnacentral:rRNA from 1 species